GACGAACGCUGGCGGCGUGCCUAACACAUGCAAGUCGAACGGAGAUGUAAUUUCGGUUAUAUCUUAGUGGCGAACGGGUGAGUAACGCGUGAGCAACCUGACUCUUAGAGGGGGAUAACACCCGGAAACGAGUGCUAAUACCGCAUAAGACCACGACAUGGCAUCAUGACGAGGUCAAAAGGAGCAAUCCGCUGAGAGGAGGGGCUCGCGUCCCAUUAGAUAGAUGGGCGGGGUAACGGCCCACCAUGUCAACGAUGGGUAGCCGAGCUGAGAGGCUGAUCGGCCACACUGGAACUGAGACACGGUCCAGACU
rnacentral:rRNA from 1 species